GGGGUUGUACUGGUUUCGACGGGUCUUUUGAAGAUGGAGAAGCUGUCCGUAGCGGGCACUACGUUAAAAGUCCAACAAAAAUAUAAACGCUGAAGACAAUUUAGCAUUAGCUGCCUAAUCGCAGCUCACUGGCCUCCGCUUUCCGCGGCGGGGAUAACCAGUGUCACCCCAGCGGAACACUCUGUUGCUAAAGCUUUGAAGCAGCAGAAAAUUUAUGAAGCUACUAAAGGGUAAAGCCUGCUAGUGGGCGUUGCCUGGAGGGAAUGUCUAAACACUUGCUAUGACAGUAGAAGUACAUUGGAUUGAGGUCCGGACAGGGGUUCGAUUCCCCUCAGCUCCACUA
rnacentral:tmRNA from 1 species